rnacentral:rRNA from 1 species
AUGGCGUCGGCGGACAUGUUCCCCAACGUCUCCUCCUCCGACGUCAAGCCGCCGCCUCGCAGGAGGCCCCCGGCAAGGCCGUGUUCGGCCUGGACCCCGCCUCUCCGGGGCGGCGUGCCUCGUCAGCCCCGGGGCGGAGCAGGCCUUCGAGACCGACCUCUCCGACGCGCAGAUAUGCAGAUAUUCAAGCUGGGGCGGACGGAGUGUAUGUGCGUGAGCAGCGAGACGGCGGCUAUGGCUGGCGCGGAAGAGGUAGUACUCUUCAGUUGGAUGUACCCCAGUUCGGUUUUACUUAGUUUUGUGCUCCUGUUUGGAUGUACCCCAGUUGAAAAUGUGUGGUGCUCGCUUUGCCUAAUUUUCUGUUUAAGGAUUAUAGUUUUUGCCGGGCAGAUGCUAUGUAGAGAAUCAGUUAAUUUCCUCUAG